CAAUAAGCGGAGGAAAAGAAACCAACAGGGAUUGCCCCAGUAACGGCGAGUGAAGCGGCAACAGCUCAAAUUUGAAAUCUGGCUCCCCCCUGGGGGGCCCGAGUUGUACUUUGGAGAGGAUGCUUUGGGCGCGGCGCCUUCCGAGUUCCUUGGAACAGGACGCCGGAGAGGGUGAGAGCCCCGUACGGUUGGACGCCUAGCCCGUGUAAAGCUCCUUCGAACGAGUCGAGUAGUUUGGGAAUGCUGCUCAAAAUGGGAGGUAAAUUUCUUCUAAAGCUAAAUACCGGCCAGAGACCGAUAGCGCACAAGUAGAGUGAUCGAAAGAUGAAAAGCACUUUGAAAAGAGGGUUAAACAGCACGUGAAAUUGUUGAAAGGGAAGCGCCUGUGGCCAGACGUGCGCCCCGCGGUUCACCCGUCGCUCUGCGGCGGGGCACGCCGCGGCGGCGCAGGCCAGCAUCGGCUCUCCCAGGGGGACAAAGGUCGCGGGAACGUAGCUCCUUCGGGAGUGUUAUAGCCCGCGGCGUCAUGCCCUUGGGGGGGCCGAGG
rnacentral:rRNA from 1 species